AUCUAUUCUAUAAUACAAAUUAUUUAAUAAGGUAACAACUUCUUAUAAAUUGAAUAGGAGGUAGUAUUUUGUUAUUGCCCACUGGUCACUACUAGUUAUGUUUGUCACCUUUCCCAUCGCUAAUAUUUGACCCACCGCUCGUUGUUCUGAGAUUUCAAACACAAAAAUAAUUAGGGAAAACAAUUGAUGAGAGUACUUUUGGAAGAAUAAUAUUAAAUAAAGUUAAUUUUAGUAUUCUACAAAAAAAAAGAAGUUAAUUUUAGUAACAUUUGUUUAUAUUUGAAGCUAAAUUUUUUUGUUAACUUUUACUCAUAAAUAAGGUUGGAGAGAGUACCAAAAAAAUAAAAGGUUGGAGAGAGUAUUUUGUUGUUGAAAUAAGUUUUGUGUGUGUGUGUAUUCAUUAUAUUUAAAAAUUUGAUGAAAUUAAAACGUACUGUAGUGAUGAAAUUAAUAAGUUUUGUGCUAAGGUUUGACGAGAAGAAAUAAAUUAAAAGAAAGAAGUUAUAUAUAAUUACGUACGUGAAUGUGGAUCUAACUUGUCUUAACAUGGAAUUCAACAUUUGAAUUGUGUU
rnacentral:lncRNA from 1 species